CUGCCGCCGUGCGUAAAGACUGCAACACCACCAGCGACACGAGCCCAGAGAGGCUGACAGGAUGGAGCGGAGGUGAGCUGCUGAGCGGAGCAAACACGAUCCAAGCGCGGUGGGUAGAGUUUAAGGAUGCUUUAGGUACGGGACGAGAGAAGUUGUCCCCCCUCACACGCCUGAAGCCAUGCGUCGGUGACCAGUAUGCUGCUGGAGUAUGAGGCAGGAGCAGACAUGCGACUGGUCCGUCAGAUCAACAAAGGUAUGAAGAUCCAGGCCGGGGGAGAGAACAUGGGCUGCAGCAAGGUCGGAGAAAACCCGGAGAACCAGGUCAUCUGUUUGCAGUGUCAAGACGAGGUGGUGCGGGUUUGCCCGGGGAGUCCGCGCAGUCCCCGCCGCGCCAUCGCGACGCGCCUCUCCUCCGGAUCCGCAGCAGAUCGAGGGGAAUCCACUCUAACUUACAGUUCAGCUACAGAGGAUAACUCAACAGACAUUGCUGGUAAGUUAACUAUAUGUUUCCAGUGGUAA
rnacentral:lncRNA from 1 species